UCGCUCUGUCACCCAGGCUGGAGUGCAGUGGCGCGAUCCUGAAUAGCUGGGAUUACAGGCAUGCGCCACCACGCCUGGCUAAUUUUUGUAUUUUUAGUAGAGACGGGGUUUCACCUGUUGGUCAGGCUGAUCUCAAACUCCUGACCUUGUGAUCUGCCCACCUCAGACUCCCAAAGUGCUGGGAUUACAGGCGUGAGCCACUGCGCCCAGCCUGAAGACUUUCUUAUUAUUGGACACCUUCUCCUCUGGCUUCCCUCUGGCCUCCCACUGCCUGUUACCUAAGAAUAUCAGGUAGAAGUCUGUCGAAUGUGAUGAGGUUUAUACAAAAUUUUUAGGUGGUCCAAAUCCUGAAACUCAUCUUCUUACUGAAACACUGGAGGGCUAAACUUGAUUUAGAGCUUUAUUAAUGAAAGCAAAUAAGAAUUUCUAUAAAAAUUCAAAAUGCUACAGCAGCCAAUUCCGUGAACUCUGUAGCCAGAUGGCUUGGGAUCAGAUCUGAGACUACUACUUACUAACUGUGUAACCAUGGACAAAAGAGUUAACCUCUCUGUGCCUCAUUUUUCUCACCUGCAGAAUUGGGCUUAUAAUAGGACCUGGCCCAUAAAUCUGUUGAGAAAACUAUGGGUGAAUAUAUAGAAGAUAUUUUGGAUGGUGCUGAUACAAACAGUUCUAGAUCUCCAUCGUUAUAAAAGAGUAUUACCGUGUUGGUGUACCACAAUUUCUCAAGAAAAACAUUAGCUAAGCCCAAGCUGGAUUUUGAUGGAUAACAUGCUGAUGUUGUAACAAGGCUGGAGCGUGACACAUCUCACACAUGCACGUGAACACCCAAUUACCACGCCUAUGAACUACAAAAGCAUCUAAGCAGAUUUUAAAUUAGCCAGUUGUUUCCCUAGGAUCCUCCAAAGGUGAUCAAUACAGUUUGUUUUUUUCUUGGUGGAGGGAUCUCAUGAUGAACUAAUGAAUCUUAACAUGAAUUGUAAGCAAAUAAAUAAAAUGGUAUGGUU
rnacentral:lncRNA from 1 species